AAAUGACCUCUCAGAUCCCUCCCACUGGGAAAGGCCAUAAUCCAACCAUUCCAGGUGCUUGCAGGUUCUAACAUUCCAUCACUCUGAUUCCAGAGAGGAGGAAAGAGCUCAAGACUGGAGUGAGAUAACUUGGUGUUGGACUUUGGCUGUCCCAUACGGUGGUUGUGUAAGGCUGGAAAAUCAAAGCAACUUUUCCCAGAAGCGCCUCCAUGCCAAAGCCAGGAGUUUAUUUGCCCGCCUUCAGCAGGAUCAUAAGGCUUAAAGGUAAUCCCAGAGCACCAAACUCCCAGCAGUCCAUCUGCCAACCCCCUUUACCGGAGAGGUACAGCGAGUGCUGCCAGCAGACUUUGUCUUUAUUUAUGGGAGAGUCUUUUAUUUCUGCCAUGCUAAAGCUCACCUUCCCUGGCCCAGCUGCUCCAGUGCUUCCCUUAUCGGCAAAAGGAGGGGGCCGGAGCCCAGCAUUGCCAAGGUAACGCUCGGCUCCAAGGCUCUUGAUCUCCUGAUCUCCCGGGCCAUCUGGCCCCAGCCAGGCUCUGAAGAGAGGAAGAAGGGCCGGUGAUUAGAGGACCCGAGGGAUGUGGCCUCUCAGCCCACGCGGGCCCCUCCUGAGAGGUUCUGACCCACUUCUACGUGACACAUACAAAGAGUCAUAGGCCUUUGAGCUGGAAGGGACCUUCAGGUCAUUGAGUCCAGCCCUCCAUGUACAGGUGAAACGACUUUCCUAAGUAAGUGACAGAGAUGCGAAUCAAAUUGAGGCCCCCCAACUGCAGCAGGCCAUGAUUCGUGGAAAGACCCCCAACCAAAGUUAUGGACUUCUGGCUACCCUGGAACACUCCAAGGAAUUCUAGGUCUUUCCUUGGGAGGCAGCGUAGUACAGUACGAGCAGUCCUGCGAGGGAGUCGGAUGGUCUGAGUGCGAAUCAUACCGUGUCCACAUGUCACUCUACUAACAUCUUGGCUGUCCGAGACACUUACCUUUGCCAGGCUUCCAUCGCCUCCUCCACAAAAGGAGGAGCCCGGAGGAGAUGGAGGUCUGGCCAGCUCUGAGUGGCCCCCUCUCGCUCCUAGCGAAGCAGCCUCCCCAGAAGAGUCAUUGCUCUCCAGCUGAUGCCCUCCGAUGGACACCCCUCGCACCCCAGCCUCCCCCUCUCGCCGAGACCCUCACGAAGCCCCAAAGGGGAGCCUCAACAGUGCCAGGACCCCCCUGGUCCAUGCUGUUCCCCAACUUCCAUUCCGCGCAUUCUUGAGUCCUUGGGAGAAGCUUCUGAAGAGCUGGUGGCCUCAGGCACCGGGAAAGCUGCGGCUGGUGGAGCAGAUGGCGUUCAGGAUGCGGAGGCGGAGCCCCCGCCAGAUGCUGUUGGCAUACCUUGUUGGGACACGAGGUUUGGGGCGCAAAGGCAGCCGCCAUGAGAGCGAAGACGUGUCCACUGGAAGACUCUUCUGCUCACGGCGCAUCGUCGUCUCAUGCAGAGGGCAGAGAUGGUUCCUGCGAUGGAACAAAUGCUGACUUUGGAACGGACCUGGGUUCAAGUCCUGACUCUGCCACUUAAAGGGGAGAAAACGGAGGUCCAUGAAGGAGAGAUGAUUUUUUAAAGAUUAUUCAAGUUAGCAGAAACAGAGCAGGGAUUCGAACUCAGAUCAUAGUACAAGCAGAGGUCACAGGCUGGAAGGGAGCAUCAGGGCAUCCAUUCUUAACCCUUCCUUCAUUUUGCAAGUGGGGAAACUGAGAUCCAAGGAAGUUAAACUUGAUUAAUGUCACCCGCAUAGGUAAUAAGGGAAUGAGUUGGGAUUCAAACUCAGGUCUUGAGACACUUUAAUGAAUCCAUCCUAUAUCUCCGAGUCCCCCCAUUGGGCCUAGUACAGAGCUCUGAGGAACGCCGACCUCAUCCUCAAAACCUCCAAUGGCUCCCAACAGUCUGCUGAAGGAAACCUCACAAUUCUCACCGAUAUUAGAAAUGGAAUUGGACAGCCCGGCUCCUCACUCUCCUACUUGAUGCCUGUUGGUCAGCUCCUGGACACACAACACCGCUGAUUUCCCACCUUCACACCUUUGCUCACACAGGGGCUCAUGCCCAACUGCCGCUGUGCCUGGAGAGCUACAAGACUUGAAUUCAAAUCUUGCCUCAGAUAUGACUUGUCUGAUGCUGUUCACAUCGCUUGUCUUUCUCCAGCCUGCUUCCCGAUCUGUUAAAUAGCAGCAGGGCCUGUCUACUCAAAGAGGAGACGGGGUGAGAGAGGGGAAAUGACACCGGCUUUGCCGUCUGCAGCUCGGGUUCAGCCCCGGCGCUGGCCCUCCAUAGCCUGGGACUCUGCCUCACUGACUCGACCUCCCUGGCCUCUAAAGAGAGCUGGCCGGCCCUAAAUGUGCCAUCCUGCCACAAGGAAGGACCUCGAGAUACGGGCCCAGCAGAUUGUUGGGCCUGCGAUGCCUCCUUCCCAUCCUGUCCCCCAGCUGGCCUUUAAGACCGAAGCCAGAGGCCGCUUCUCUCCGUCCCCCCUGCUUGUGGCCCAGAGCCUCAGGCUUUGUUAACCCACCCCCUCCCCUUUGGGGCUCUCCUCCCUGCCCUGCCGUGCCUUAGACUGGGAGGUCUCCAGGGCAGGGGCCUUUCUUCCUGCUUGCUCUAGUUGGCUCCCCCACCCCAAGGCCAGAGCUGGCCCGCAGUGAGCACCUCAUCAGGGCCUCUUUUGUGCCCUGUCCUGCCCUCUUUCCUAAUGGCCUGCCUGCGCUCUCCAUUCAGUCCUGAGCUGCCUCAGUUUGUCCCUUCAUUAUUUAUUCCCAUUUUCUUUGUCUGAAAAAUGAGCUUCAAAGCAACGACAAACUUGAAUUUUCCAUGUGCAAGGAAGAGAAUGAAGAGACUGAUAUGUGAAAUCCUGAUUCUCUAUUAUAUACAAAUUAGUUUGUGCUCUUUAAGUAUUAAUUAUAUGUAACGGGAUA